UUUUUUUUUUGUAGCGCUUAUAUACUGAAGCCUGGGACAAUGACAAGAAAACUAUUCAUGUCAUGCCUGAUACACCAGAAAUCAUGUUAGCCAAACUCAACCGAAUAAACUACAGUGAUAAACUCUAUAAACUUGCUUUGGAAGAGUCCAAGAAGGAAGGCUAUGACUUGCGUCUGGAUGCCAUUCCAAUCCAAGCAGCCAAGGCUUCAAGAGAUAUUGCUAGUGACGUAAGUGGAUGUUUUGGAAAAGCCAUUUCUUAUUCAAAGAUGUUGACAGAUAGAAGCUUUUAGAGUUUUUCUUGCCAGAAAUUUAGUUACCCCUAUAAGUCUCAAUUCCCUUUAGUGAUUUUC
rnacentral:sRNA from 1 species